UUUUGGACUAUUAGGUUAAAAGAAGAUUAGACGCAUAUAAAAUGUCCUUAUCCAAAUUAAAGAAUUCAUGACUUCUUUACUUACUAGUCCAAUAGGGUGCUAGAAAUUCAAGAAUCCUUAUCCAUUUAAGCUCUCUUUCUCUCCUUCAGUAAGUGUCUAUAAAUAAACACCUAAACCUGUACCUUGUUCCUACUAAAUUCAAUUUCAGUAGCUAAAUUGAAAGAGAAAAGGAGAGAUGUCAGGUUGGGGACCGCCACCAGGAGGACCUCCCGGUCCUCCGGGGCUAUGUGGUUGCUGUGAUUUUUGUUGUGGUGGUAUAUGCAGGCUUAUAUCUUCAUGUUUUUAUUUCCUCUGUUGCUGCUGCAUCAUAGAGAGCUGCUGCGGACCAGUGUUUGGUGGACCACCUGGGCCAGGAGGGCCCCCUGGCCCACCUGGUGGGCCUCCCUUCUAAGUAGCCCAUUUCCCUUCUAAGCAGACUCAAUUUAAAAAAAUAAAUAUGUGUUUAUUUGUCUAAUUUAAGUUUUUAAUAUUGAUUUUGUAUAUUUAUUUUAUGGGUCUUGUAUAUUUAUUUAGUACAAUAAGGAACAUAAUUUAUAUUGGUUGUGUAUAAAUUGUGAGUGAGUUUUCAUCAUCUAAUACAUACUAAUGGCUUACCCUGCCCUGGUCUUUAA